UGCCAGCUCUCCCAGGCCCUGAACGGUGUCUCCGACAGACCUAAAGAUGCCAAGGAGUUCCUGGUUCAACUGAAGAACAUGCUUCAGCAGAUACAGGCCAUCAGGCUGCAGAUGGAGGCCCUUCAGCAGCAGUUGAAGAGUGACUGGUCUGUCAGUCAAUGCCAAGCUGAUGAGGGGAAAUUCUGGGCUGAGGAAGAAACUCACAGUUACACCACAGCCCUGUCCAGUGGCCAGUAAAUGUACUGCAGAAACACAUGCUGUUCACCAGCAAGGACAAGAUGGAACUUCUGUCUAACGAGUGCAGCCUGCUGUCUUUCACUAA